rnacentral:misc_RNA from 1 species
AAUAAAAAUAAAAAUAAAAAAAGAAGAAACUACUCCCUUCAGGAAGUCAAAGACAAAGUGGCAUCAUACAAAUGGAGGGAUGAAAAAUGGCGAAGUAAAUGCAGAUGUACAAUUAAUUGAUAUUUAGAUGGAAAUAAAAGUUUCUCUUUAGAACAAAAAAAUGUCAACAAUUCAAAAGCACCCCAAAAUAGACACACACAGAGAGAUUGAUAGAUGUAUCAUGACAUUAACAACAAGAAUUAAGCAUUUGGCAUAUGCUUGAUAAGGGUUAGAGCUACACAUAUUGAAAAAAACAUUUGUGGGUAGUAAUGUUGCUCCAUCAAGUAACCUAAGAAAAAAAGAAGAGUCGGUGCAACAAUUCAGAGAGUUUGAGAAGUUGCUCACAGGUUCAACACCAAGUUUGGCCCCAGGAGCAAAACAUCAUUCAACCAUUCAAUUGUAGUUGGGACUCCAAGAUUACCAACCCGCUUGAGGAUCCAACUAGAGUUCAACUGCUUCUCAGCCUGGUGAGCAUCCUAAUAAGGUAUAAUAUGAACCAGAAGAAAUUCCAGGCUUGGAGAACAGCUCACAGAGAGCACGGAGCUUCUCGUCCGGUUCGGAUUUAUCGGUGCUAUUCCUGUGAAUUUGCUAAGAACUCUUGGCUGUGAUAGAACUACAAACUUUUAUUUAAAAGAGGGGAUUUGUAGAAAUUAUAGUGGAAAAUGGACCUAGGAAGUGACCUAGAGUGGAAACGAGAGUACAGAGAGCGAGCAGAU